rnacentral:rRNA from 1 species
UACGUAGGGGGCUAACGUUGUCCGGAUUUAUUGGGCGUAAAGAGCGUGUAGGCGGCCAUGUAGGUCCGGUGUGAAAACUCGAGGCUUAACCUCGAGAUGUCAUCGGAAACCAUUUGGCUAGAGUCCGGAAGAGGAGAGUGGAAUUCCUGGUGUAGCGGUGAAAUGCGCAGAUAUCAGGAAGAACACCGAUGGCGAAGGCAGGUCUCUGGGCCGAUACUGACGCUGAGGAGCGAAAGCGUGGGGAGCGAACAGG